GAUGAACGCUGGCGGCGUGCCUAAUACAUGCAAGUCGAGCGAACGGACGAGAAGCUUGCUUCUCUGAUGUUAGCGGCGGACGGGUGAGUAACACGUGGAUAACCUACCUAUAAGACUGGGAUAACUUCGGGAAACCGGAGCUAAUACCGGAUAAUAUUUUGAACCGCAUGGUUCAAAAGUGAAAGACGGUCUUGCUGUCACUUAUAGAUGGAUCCGCGCUGCAUUAGCUAGUUGGUAAGGUAACGGCUUACCAAGGCAACGAUGCAUAGCCGACCUGAGAGGGUGAUCGGCCACACUGGAACGGAGACACGGUCCAGACUCCUACGGGAGGCAGCAGAAGGGAAUCUUCCGCAAUGGGCGAAAGCCUGACGGAGCAACGCCGCGUGAGUGAUGAAGGUCUUCGGAUCGUAAAACUCUGUUAUUAGGGAAGAACAUAUGUGUAAGUAACUGUGCACAUCUUGACGGUACCUAAUCAGAAAGCCACGGCUAACUACGUG
rnacentral:rRNA from 1 species